rnacentral:lncRNA from 1 species
AUUUGCUUUGCGUUAAACUGUUGAAUUCAUAGACAAGAAGAUUAGGGGAUUUUUAAUUUUGCUUUAAACUUGGCAAUCGGCAAUUGCAUCUGGGUAUUUAAAUCAAUGCUGCGUAUUUUAUAGAUUGGGUGUUCUCGUAUUUGUUAGCUUUUUUAUUUGAUUUUAUAUUGGUUGGUGAUUAUAUAACUGUUCUCGUAAUUUAUAAUUUUGCUUUAAACAUGUCCAGGUAAUGAAGAUGAUUUUGGUGUUGAAAUUUAUUAGGCCAUGUUGUUUUUUAGUCAGAUUUUAACCCGAAAAUAUAUCAUCUUUGUUUGUUUGUUAAAAUUGUUUUUCCGGCAAAUUCUUAUUGCAAUUUGUGAUUAUAUAAGUGAUACAUUAGUAAAAAACCUAAAAUUAAAUUAGGCGAAUGAAAAUGGGUCAAUGUGUUCUAGAAUCCGUGUUAGCAAUUACUAUCUAUUCGGUUUGUGUUUUCUAAACUAUGAAUUCGGU